CUGAUGCGGUGGCACCUGUUGGACAGAACAGCAAGAUCAAAAGGUAACACAGCCACCUGAGAGGAGAAACUGAGGCUCCAGCCCUGAUAUGCUGCAUAUUUAUGCAUUUUAUAUUGUAAACUCACUGGAAUAAAACUAGAUCUUCACGGAGCAGAAGCAGGAGCUGGCACUGUGGUUUCCUCUUCCCCAAGUGCAGGUUCUAAUCAAACAGGCUAAAGCUAUUUCUCCGUAACUGCUUAAUCAUCCUGUGCAAAGUAGGGCAAGGUCCUAGAGGAUCCAAGAGGAACAGUGUGCACAUCUCUGAGAGCAGCUUUUGGCACAGGGAGCAGGAGAUGCAGAGGUGAACGUCACAGGAGGAAGAAUAUUCAAUCCCCAUCACCAACUGAGCGAUAAACACCCUAGGUCCUGAACCAUGACUCAAAGGCAGGGCUGCUCUUCUUCCAGCGCUUUGUGUGACGAGUGGUGCCCUCUGUUGUUCCAGGGAGAAGGUGCUGGGAGUUAGGGAAUCGAAACCACGAAUGUGAGGUUUCAGAAAGCUUCCAGGCUUGCUCAGAAACUGCAGGAAUGACAUCCUUUGUGCAUCAGUUACACUGACAUUGUGCAUAAGACACAUCUCUUUAAUAACCUGGCAGAGAAAGAGAGCCCAAACCGACAUCUGUGGGAGAUGGACCAGUCACAGAAUGACAGAAUCAUUAGCUGGGGUAAAUAUGCUGAUCUCCUUUAAAAAUACUUCAUCUCAGGACAAAACCUUUUCCCCCCACCCCGAUGCAGCAUAAUUUGGGCCAGACUUUGCAAGGUGCUGAGUGCCUCAGUUCUCU
rnacentral:lncRNA from 1 species